rnacentral:rRNA from 1 species
CCUACGGGUGGCAGCAGUGAGGAAUAUUGGACAAUGGGCGAGAGCCUGAAGCAGCGACGUAGCGUGAAGGAUGACGGUCCUAUGGGUUGUAAACCUCUGUUAUAUGGGAAUAAAAUGAUCCAAGUGUGGGAUGAUGCAUGUGCCAUCUGAAUAAGGGUAGGCUAACUACGUGCCAGCAGCCGCGGUAAUACCGGGGGUCCGGGCGGUAAAUGGAGUGAUUGGGUGUAAAGGGGGCGGUAGUGGGUAGUUAAGGCUGGUGUGGAAGUUUACAGCUAAAACGUAAAGUUGCACUUGAAACUGGAAUUCUUGAGUACAGUAGAGGUAGGCGGAAUUCCUGGUGUAGCGGUGAAAUGCUUAGAUAUCACGAAGAACUCCGAUUGCGAAGGCAGCACACUGGACUUCUACUGACGCUGAGGCUCGAAAGUGUGGGUAUCAAACAGGAUUAGAUACCCGUGUAGUC